rnacentral:SRP_RNA from 1 species
GACCUCAUGGAACAGGGCAGUUCGAACCAGGUCAGGACAGGAAUGUAGCAGCCUUAAGGAUGGAGCCAGGUGCCUUGAG